UCCCAGGCCCUUCUUAGGGCCAAGACAUUAUAAUAAAUGCAUUGUGU
rfam:Homo sapiens chromosome 13, GRCh38 reference primary assembly.